CCUGGUUUUCUUGUUUCUUUCUACUGGAGGUUUUUUUUUCUUCUAUUGCAAAAGUUGAGGCAUGAUGGAGUUUCGUGAGUUUCGUCUCUCCCACACCUUUGCUUUUCUCACACUCACACUGGUAGAAAGGGCGAACCAUGCUGCUUUACCGCCACCUCAACUUUACUUGUCGAACUCCUUCCUGCUAGACACACCAAUCUCCAAAGCUCUCAGUGGACUUAUCCAACCUGUGGUGUUUCUGUUGCAAAAGACCCGCCUAGCCGGCCGAUUUUUCAAAAACUUGAAUGGCGCUUUUUUAUUUAGAUUUAUUUUUUACUGGCGGGUCUGGCAUCUCUGCAAAUACAUCAAGCUAGGGUUUUAGCGACUCACGUUUAUCAACAACGUAAAGGUUAGCUCUUCCCAACAAUUCACUCUGUUUUUUUCCUUCUGUGCAGUCUUUAUGCUGUGACUUAGAGUGCUUUCGUUUGAAAUUUCUCAAAUUGUCGAUAGCUCUGAACAAGUAGUCGAGUUGUUAAAAUGGAGCUUUGUGAUAAAUAUUGGGCUCUUUCUAUUGAAUAAGUCCAUGUUUCACCUGAAUUUCGUCUCUUUGAAAAUUCAAACCCUAGAAGCUGAGAAAUUGCAAUUGAAAUUCAGUAUUUUCCAUUUUCUGUUUUGGUUUAUGUUAUGUUUGGUUGCUAGGAAGCUGAUGAUGAACAAAUAUAUAUUCACAACUUGAAUUGUGAAUUCGUAUAUUGCAUUAAUUGAUAAUAUUGGUACACAAGGUAAGAUUUUAUACAGAACCUAUGUGCUAUUCUAAGUAAGCAGAUCCUAGAAUAAAGCUAAUUAUAUUUACAUCCUAUAGUCACUCUAUCCCAAGAGUUGACAAUAUCGGAAGCUCCAAUCACUCUCAAUCAGAUUGUGUAAUUGAUUUUCCUUUAACAAGUUUCAUGUUUCUUUUGUUGUAUUGAAUAGUUUAGUUACAAACUGAGUUGGUCUGGUUAACUGACCCAAAAGGAGUACGCUGCUUUCUGGGGCUCCAAUUGCUGAGUCAUCUCUUCUUUUGAAUUUUUUCCUUUUAAAUUUCAUUUUGGUCAACUCUCAGUAAUGUAAUGUGGGGGAAAUGCAGCUUUUGGAUCCAUAAUACAGCUGCUGUAGAAGAGGAAAAACCCUCAUCUUUGGCCAAAAAAUUGCUGAAUCAUUGGUUGAGAU